rnacentral:rRNA from 1 species
GACGAACGCUGGCGGCGUGCUUAACACCUGCAAGUCGAACGAGGUGGCGAACGGGUGAGUAACGCGUAAUCAACCUGCCCUUCAGAGGGGGACAACAGUUGGAAAUGACUGCUCAUACCGCAUACUGAAGGAGGGGUGUGCGUCUGAUUAGCUAGUUGGGGGGGUAACGGCCCACCAAGGCGAUGAUCAGGAGCCGGGCUGGGAGGGUGAACCGCCACAUUGGGACUGAGACACGGCCCAGACUCCUAAGGGAGGCAGCAGUGGGGAAUCUUCCGCAAUGGACGAAAGUCUGACGGAGCAACGCCGCGUGAGUGAUGACGGCCUUCGGGUUGUAAAGCUCUGUUAAUCGGGACGCGGUACCGGAAGAGAAAGCCACGGCUAACUACGUGCCAGCAGCCGCGGUAAUAC